rnacentral:miRNA from 1 species
ACCAAAUGCUUCCAAAUGUCAAUUUAUAUUAAAGCUUGCCCCAUUCCUCUGUCAUUUGUUGCAUGCCGCAAGCACUCAUUGAAAAGCAUUGUUCAUAUAUAUAGACAUUGAGUGCUUGCGGCGCGCAAAAAAAUAACAGAGGAAUGGGGCGAGCUUAAUAUAAAUUGAAAUUUGGAAGCAUUUG